rnacentral:rRNA from 1 species
CAGCAGCCGCGGGAAUACGGAGGGUGCAAGCGUUAAUCGGAAUUACUGGGCGUAAAGCGCACGCAGGCGGUCUGUCAAGUCAGAUGUGAAAUCCCCGGGCUUAACCUGGGAACUGCAUUUGAAACUGUCAGGCUGGAGUCUUGUAGAGGGGGGUGGAAUUCCAGGUGUAGCGGUGAAAUGCGUAGAGAUCUGGAGGAAUACCGGUGGCGAAGGCGGCCCCCUGGACAAAGACUGACGCUCAGGUGCGAAAGCGUGGGGAGCAAACAGGAUUAGAUACCCCAGUAGUCCCUGUCUCUUAUAU